GCGGUCUUAGUAUAGUGGUCUAGUACGGCUCGUUGUGGAUGAUCGGGAGCGUCGGAUUGGCGAUCUGCUGUGAAAUCUGGGCCGAGCAAACGGAUGUUCGAUUCCUCCAGACCGCA
rfam:Sporisorium reilianum SRZ2 chromosome 5 complete DNA sequence